GUAUCGUCGUUUGACGAAAGUUACUUACGGAAGGGUGUCAAUUAACUCGUUCUGUCGAUAGACGUCGUAUUAUAUUAAAACCGAUCGAAAUUUAAACAGAAGAAUGUGUACGGAAAGGAUUCAUGCCCACUGACCCAAAGGAAAUUAAAUAUUUAGAGAGUUAGAAAUGAGGUUCCACCUAGAAUUCACGCAGGAAAAAAGGUGAUAAGGUACGAAGUGAAAUACCUUCUCUCACUUUCAGUGACUACUGUGGAAAGUAAACUUGGAAUUGAUAGUACAAAAAUAAAAUACAAUAAGUACAUUGUUCAUACACUUGUAUCGAGGAUUGGCUAUGUUUAAAGUUGAAUAACUAUUCAGAUUACGUAAAUAACAUUUUACGAGCAUUUUACAAGUGCAGUUGAAUUAUUUUUGAAAAUUAUUCUAAUACAUGUAUCAAUGAAAACAAUGGCAAUCGUAUCCCUCAGAGCAAUCUGCUCUUUGAUUAUAUGGUG
rnacentral:lncRNA from 1 species